GAUGAAGAACGCAGCGAAAUGCGAUAAGUAAUGUGAAUUGCAGAAUUCAGUGAAUCAUCGAAUCUUUGAACGCACAUUGCGCCCCUUGGUAUUCCGAGGGGCAUGCCUGUUCGAGCGUCAUUAUAACCCCUCAAGCUCAGCUUGGUGUUGGGGCCUGCUGCACUGGCAGCCCUUAAAAUCAGUGGCGGCGCCAUCUGGCUCUAAGCGUAGUAAUUCUUCUCGCUAUGGAGUCCUGGUGGAUGCUUGCCUUCAACCCCCAAUUUUUCUAUGGUUGACCUCGGAUCAGGUAGGGAUACCCGCUGAACUUAAGCAUAUCAAUAAGCGGAGGA
rnacentral:misc_RNA from 1 species